rnacentral:rRNA from 1 species
GACGAACGCUGGCGGCGUGCUUAACACAUGCAAGUCGAACGACGUGGCGAACGGGUGAGUAAUACGUCGGUAACCUUCCCUCCUUUUUGGGAUAAGCCUUUGGAACGGGGUCUAAUUCCCACUUACGGGUGAUGGGCUCGCGGCCUAUCAGCUUGUUGGUGGGGUGAUGGCCUACCAAGGCGGUGACGGGUAGCCGUCCUGGGAGGGUGACCGGAAACAGUGGGAGUGAGAGACGGCCCAGGAUCCUACGGGAGGGAGAAGUGGGGGAUAGUGCGCAAGGGGCGAGAGCCUGAGGCAGGGACGCGGCGUGGGGGAUGAAGGCUUUAGGGUUGUAAACCGCUGUCGAUAGCGAACGGGUAGGUGGAGAAGAAGCGCCGGCUAACUACGUGCCAGCAGCCGCGGUAAUUC